UGUGACUUUUUUUCCUAGCUGCCUGGUCUAGCGAAGGGCAAAGAGGCUGAAAAGAAACAGUUAUUGUUAGCAAAUAUUGUGCUGGGGUUUCUUAAGAGUGCCUUCAAUAUAUAAAUAAUGAUUAAAUUAAAGAGGUCAUCACACCGAUUGGGCCCCGUGUGCUUUUUAGGGUCAGGUUGACGGAGUAUCAGAAAUCCAGUCUCAAGUGCCGACUCCAGUGCCAGUUAGGAAAAAAAAAUUAAACACAUUUUUAAAUGAAACGACCAAUAAUGUGCUGAAAAAGAACUUGCUUUUCGUACUGCAAUCAGCUGAAGUUGGCCGCGGUUUACUAAACAAUAAAGUGUUGACGGAAAAUCAAAGGAAUUCCAUAAUUAACAUCAUUAUAGAAGAAAUUUUACAAAACAAUAUUUUUGUUCAAGCCGCAGAAUUUUGUAAUUCGUUGGACGAGCUCAUUAACAUUUUUCCUUGCGAAGCGCAAAGCCAGGUUAUACUUAAACCAUAAUCAAAAAUGAUGUUAAUGUAAUAGUAAUUUAGACGGUUUAUUUGUUGUUUUAUAUUGUUUUAAAUGAUUUUUAUUUCCUGGUUCUUCACAUGCGUGUGUUCUUGAACAGAUCCGACGAAAAGUGUGUUUUUUUUGUCCGCGUUUCAAGAUUGCCACACAUUUUUUUACGUUCUGCGUUGCCAGA